GACGAACGCUGGCGGCGUGCCUAAUACAUGCAAGUAGAACGCUGAAGAGAGGAGCUUGCUCUUCUUGGAUGAGUUGCGAACGGGUGAGUAACGCGUAGGUAACCUGCCUGGUAGCGGGGGAUAACUAUUGGAAACGAUAGCUAAUACCGCAUAAAAUGGAUUAUCGCAUGAUAAUCCAUUGAAAGGUGCAAAUGCCUCACUACCAGAUGGACCUGCGUUGUAUUAGCUAGUUGGUGGGGUAACGGCUCACCAAGGCGACGAUACAUAGCCGACCUGAGAGGGUGAUCGGCCACACUGGGACUGAGACACGGCCCAGACUCCUACGGGAGGCAGCAGUAGGGAAUCUUCGGCAAUGGACGGAAGUCUGACCGAGCAACGCCGCGUGAGUGAAGAAGGUUUUCGGAUCGUAAAGCUCUGUUGUAAGAGAAGAACGAGUGUGAGAGUGGAAAGUUCACACUGUGACGGUAUCUUACCAGAAAGGGACGGCUAACUACGUG
rnacentral:rRNA from 1 species